GAUGAACGCUGGCGGCGUGCCUAAUACAUGCAAGUCGAGCGAACAGACGAGGAGCUUGCUCCUCUGACGUUAGCGGCGGACGGGUGAGUAACACGUGGAUAACCUACCUAUAAGACUGGGAUAACUUCGGGAAACCGGAGCUAAUACCGGAUAAUAUAUUGAACCGCAUGGUUCAAUAGUGAAAGACGGUUUUGCUGUCACUUAUAGAUGGAUCCGCGCCGCAUUAGCUAGUUGGUAAGGUAACGGCUUACCAAGGCAACGAUGCGUAGCCGACCUGAGAGGGGGAUCGGCCACACUGGAACUGAGACACGGUCCAGACUCCUACGGGGGGCAGCAGUAGGGAAUCUUCCGCAAUGGGCGAAAGCCUGACGGGGCAACGCCGCGUGAGUGAUGAAGGUCUUCGGAUCGUAAAACUCUGUUAUUAGGGAAGAACAAAUGUGUAAGUAACUAUGCACGUCUUGACGGUACCUAAUCAGAAAGCCACGGCUAACUACGUG
rnacentral:rRNA from 1 species